UACGUAGGUGGCAAGCGUUGUCCGGAUUUACUGGGCGUAAAGAGCGCGCAGGCGGUCGGAUUAGUCGCGUGUGAAAGCCCCCGGCUCAACUGGGGAGGGUCACGCGAUACUGUUCGACUCGAAGGCAGGAGAGGGAAGUGGAAUUCCCGGUGUAGUGGUGAAAUGCGUAGAUAUCGGGAGGAACACCGGUGGCGAAGGCGGGUCUCUGGGCCGAUACUGACGCUGAGGAGCGAAAGCGUGGGGAGCGAACAGG
rnacentral:rRNA from 1 species